GACAUGGGAAGCUUGCUUCCUAUGAAAUCGAGUGGCAAACGGGUGAGUAACGCGUAAACAACCUGCCCUUCGGAUGGGGAUAACAGCCGGAAACGGCUGCUAAUACCGAAUACGAUCUUUUCGUCGCAUGACGGAAAGAAGAAAGGAUGGCCUCUAUACAAAGCUAUCGCCGAAGGAGGGGUUUGCGUCUGAUUAGCUGGUUGGAGGGGUAACGGCCCAACAAGGCGAUGAUCAGUAGCCGGUCUGAGAGGAUGAACGGCCACAUUGGGACUGAGACACGGCCCAGACUCCUACGGGAGGCAGCAGUGGGGAAUCCUCCGCAAUGGACGAAAGUCUGACGGAGCAACGCCGCGUGAGUGAAGAAGGUCUUCGGAUUGUAAAGCUCUGUUAUACGGGACGAAAAAGACGGAUGCCAACAGUAUCCGUCCGUGACGGUACC
rnacentral:rRNA from 1 species